rnacentral:rRNA from 1 species
UCCCUAAGAUUCACCCAUGCAUGUUUUUGACAUUUGAAAAAUGGACUGCUCAGUAAUACUCACUUUAUUUUAUGUAAAUUUUUAAUUAACUACGUUAAAGUGUAGAUAAGAUGUUUACAGUAAGAGUGAGACCUAUCAGCUAGUUGUUAAGGUAAUGGCUUAACAAGGCUGUGACGGGUAACGGUAUUACUUUGUAAUAUUCCGGAGAAGGAGCCUGAGAGACGGCUACUAAGUCUAAGGAUUGCAGCAGGGGCGAAACUUGACCUAUGGAUUUUAUUUGAGGCAGUUAUGGGAAGUAAUAUUAUAUUGUUUCAUAUUUUAAAAGUAUAUGAGGUGAUUAAUUGGAGGGCAAAUCAAGUGCCAGCAGCCGCGGUAAUACUUGUUCCAAGAGUGUGUAUGAUGAUUGAUGCAGUUAAAAAGUCCGUAGUUUAUUUUUUUAAAAA